GGGAGUCUGGCCGAGUGGUGUAUGUGCUACUGCUCUAUGCGCAGUCAUUCGUGGCGCAGGUUCGAAUCCUGCGGCUCUCA